GUUUUAUCAAAAAAAGCAAAAAUAUAAACAAAAUAGUCUUCAUUGACAUUAGAAGACGCUAAAAGACAAAGAUGUUUAAACACAAUGGAAAUAAAAGAGAGCGAAAACAAAGCAAUCUAUUCAGAUGGUGUUUGUGAUAAAAAAAUAGCUAAAUUUUGCUAUUUUCACCUGAAAGUCAUUAAUUCACUAUUAUAUUAGAGGUCUUUUGGAUGUCAUCAACAAUUCAAGUUCACUUGUUACACCAACAUAAAACCAGUGAAAGACAAGAAAGGAUUCAAAAGAUCAACAUCAAAUAUUCAUUAAUCCAGAAAGGAUAUUAACUCAAUGACUGAUAAAGAUGUGCGAUAUGGUGCAAUGACUCAGAGGAUAUUAACCACUUGGUGUUACAUUUUUCCAAGUAAAGAGAUUUCUAUCCGUUCAUUAAUCCUAGUACUUAUUAUCGAUACUUAAUAUCAAUCCGAUUUGAUCAUAUUUCUGGGAAAACAAACCAGCUGAUUGACGGAUGGAAAACAAAUCUUCAAUAAAGGCUUCGAUUGGAACAUGGACCAACAUUUAAUGAGACGGAAAUACCUUGAAUCCGUUCUUCUGUUUACAUCAUUUGCAUCCCAGACACCUGAUCUGAACUGCUUUGGGGCAUUAAACUGAUAAUGCUCAAGGGUAUCAAUUUACGUGGUACAUUUAGCGCCUUACCUGAUUCCGUGUGCAAGCUUUAUUAGCAAAUUGGUAUAUUAUGCAAUUUUAACUCAUUGAAACAGUUAAACUCUGGAUAAUGGAAUCACAAAAGUUUAAAUUAAAGGUAAAAUCAACAUGGCCAUCAACAGAUCAUGAUUCGUGCAAACGGGAAUAAAAGGAGAACCAAAAUCUCAUACUGUUAUUAUUUGUAUACGUUAUUACUAUCAUCAUCCGUAAAUGAUCUGUCAAAUAUGAAGUUUCGCUGUAUUAUUGUGAUGGAACCACUUUUUAUUUUGAAAGGCACAAAGCCAAAGGAACUCAACUGAAACUGUUAUUUAUGACAUUGGAAUAAACCACGAUCGAUUCGAAUGGCAGGAGCAAAAGAUGCAAAAAUCAUUUCUUGAUAUGAUUUCUAGAAAAAAUGAUUCACUCAAGUAGUUUGCCUUUGCAUAACUAUGUUAGGCAAAUUAUCAUAGUCUAGAUGAAUGUCAACUACCAGCAUUUUCAACAGUAAAGUACAGUAUUGUAUGAAUAUCCAAAUUUUGUGUGUUCUUGGCCUAUCUUUCAACUUAAAUAAGGACCACGCCGUUGUAUGUUGGUGGCCUAAGGUUGUGUCAACCUUUAAGCUCAUCUAUGCAUCGUGUUACUCAAUGUUGAAAACAUCUGAUGGUUAUUUUACCUAGAGAAUGCACAAUGAUGUCAGUGUGGUCCAGAGACAACAAAGCAAAGUGUCAAUAACAACAUGAUGAAAGAAGGCAAAAAAUGAGAUGAAAACAUUUACAUCCGGAACAAUGAUUGGAAGGAAAACAAAACUCUUUCAUUCUGGUCCAACAUCACACUUGAAGACAGAAGACAAAUCAACUGGAAACAAUCGAAAACUUCAUCUCAUCUCAAUUUUAUCUUCAUUACAAGGCAUUUGUGUCAUGAUCAUCUUUGAAAAAUGAUUUUACAAGCCCAAAGGUCAAUCAAAUAAAUUAAUUCAACGACCAAAAAACAAA